rnacentral:rRNA from 1 species
UACGGAGGGGGCUAGCGUUAUUCGGAAUUAUUGGGCGUAAAGGGCGUGUAGGCGGCUUCGUGUGUCCCAUGUGAAAGCCCUUGGCUCAACCGGGGAACUGCAUGGGAAACUGCGGAGCUUGAGUCCGGGAGAGGUGAGUGGAAUUCCCAGUGUAGCGGUGAAAUGCGUAGAUAUUGGGAGGAACACCGGUGGCGAAGGCGGCUCACUGGACCGGUACUGACGCUGAGACGCGAAAGCCAGGGGAGCAAACGGG